rnacentral:rRNA from 1 species
UAGGGAAUCUUCGGCAAUGGGGGGAACCCUGACCGAGCAACGCCGCGUGAGUGAAGAAGGUUUUCGGAUCGUAAAGCUCUGUUGUUAAGGAAGAACGAGUGUGAGAAUGGAAAGUUCAUACUGUGACGGUACUUAACCAGAAAGGGACGGCUAACUACGUGCCAGCAGCCGCGGUAAUACGUAGGUCCCGAGCGUUGUCCGGAUUUAUUGGGCGUAAAGCGAGCGCAGGCGGUUAGAUAAGUCUGAAGUUAAAGGCAGUGGCUCAACCAUUGUAGGCUUUGGAAACUGUUUAACUUGAGUGCAGAAGGGGAGAGUGUAAUUCCAUGUGUAGCAGUGAAAUGCGUAGAUAUAUGGAGGAACACCGGUGGCGAAAGCGGCUCUCUGGUCUGUAACUGACGCUGAGGCUCGAAAGCGUGGGGAGCGAACAGG